UCGGGAAUUUUGCGCAAUGGACGAAAGUCUGACGCAGCAACGCCGCGUGAGGGAUGAAGGCCUUCGGGUUGUAAACCUCUUUUAUCAGGGAAGAUAAUGACGGUACCUGAUGAAUAAGUCACGGCUAACUACGUGCCAGCAGCCGCGGUAAUACGUAGGUGACAAGCGUUGUCCGGAUUUACUGGGCGUAAAGAGCGCGCAGGCGGUCGUUCAAGUCGAGUGUGAAAGCCCCCGGCUCAACUGGGGAGGGUCACUCGAUACUGAUCGACUCGAAGGCAGGAGAGGGAAGUGGAAUUCCCGGUGUAGUGGUGAAAUGCGUAGAUAUCGGGAGGAACACCAGUGGCGAAGGCGACUUCCUGGCCUGUUCUUGACGCUGAGGCGCGAAAGCUAGGGGAGCAAACGGGAUUAGAUACCCCGGUAGUCCUAGCCGUAAACGAUGGACACUAGGUGUUGGUGGUAUCAACCCCGCCAGUGCCGAAGCUAACGCAUUAAG
rnacentral:rRNA from 1 species